GUAUGCUUUAUGCUGGGGAACAAAUCUCUUCUUAUUUCACUCCAACACCUUUAACAGACAAAGCUUGUUGGCCUGACAAAUCUGUGACAAUGCCCCUAGGCCCUGAUUUGACAAGCUGUGAGAUGCCCAUUUUCGCUUGAGUCAUAACUUUAUUAGUGUUGACACAUCCUGUUAAUGGAUUUUAUUAUGUGGUAAUGAUACAAUGAAAGUUUACAUUGUAGUAAUAGCUACGACUAUAAUUGGGAGCCUAUAGGGUAGCACAUGCCUCACAGAAAUGAUGUUAGUGUUUAAACUUGUCCUGCAUUAAACCAUGACACCUGGUAGAAAUUAAUGCCCUGGAGCAGAGUCGCUGGGAAGCUGUGAGACACCACACCCCAGAACAGCAGCAGCAGCAGUGGAGGAAAGCUGUGCAUACUGGCCUUUGUCUUCUUUCUCAGUGCAAGGUGGUGAUUUAAGAAGGUGCGUUGCCUGGACACUAAACAACAUAGCUGUGUUGCUGCCGUGAGGAAAGCCAGCCUCAAGCUGGUGCAAUAAACAGGAGCUCGCAGA
ensembl:lncRNA WTAPP1 Wilms tumor 1 associated protein pseudogene 1